UGGGGAAUAUUGGGCAAUGGGCGCAAGCCUGACCCAGCAACGCCGCGUGAAGGAAGAAGGCUUUCGGGUUGUAAACUUCUUUUAAGGGGGAAGAGUAGAAGACGGUACCCCUAGAAUAAGCCACGGCUAACUACGUGCCAGCAGCCGCGGUAAUACGUAGGGGGCGAGCGUUGUUCGGAAUCAUUGGGCGUAAAGGGUGCGCAGGUGGCCGAUCAAGUCUGGCGUGAAAGUGCGGGGCUCAACUCCGUGAUGCGCUGGAAACUGGCCGGCUAGAGUACAGCAGGGGGCGUCGGAAUUCCAGGUGUAGGGGUGAAAUCUGUAGAUAUCUGGAAGAACACCGGUGGCGAAGGCGGACGCCUGGGCAUGUACUGACACUGAGGCACGAAGGUGCGGGGAG
rnacentral:rRNA from 1 species